rnacentral:rRNA from 1 species
AGCGAACGCUGGCGGCAGGCUUAACACAUGCAAGUCGAAGGUGAAGCAGGACUUCGGUCCUGUGGAAACUGGCGGACGGGUGAGUAACGCGUAGGGAUGUGCCUAUGAGUACGGAAUAACCGUUGGAAACGACGGCUAAUACCGUAUACGCCCCAAGGGGGAAAGCUCCGGCGCUCAUAGAGCAACCUGCGUCCGAUUAGCUUGUUGGUGAGGUAACGGCUCACCAAGGCUGCGAUCGGUAGCUGGUCUGAGAGGAUGGUCAGCCACACUGGGACUGAGACACGGCCCAGACUCCUACGGGAGGCAGCAGUGGGGAAUAUUGGACAAUGGGGGCAACCCUGAUCCAGCCAUGCCGCGUGAGUGAAGAAGGCCCUAGGGUUGUAAAGCUCUUUCAGCAGGGAAGAUGAUGACGGUACCUGCAGAAGAAGCCCCGGCUAACUCCGUGCCAGCGCCGCGGUAAU